rnacentral:RNase_P_RNA from 1 species
CAUGUAACAAUGAGGAACGUCCGGGCAACGCAGAGCAUCACACUUCCUAACGGGAAGCUAUUCGUGAGGGUAGGUGCCAUGUAACAGAAAAUAACCGCCGGUACCAGUGACCGGUAAGGGUGAAAAGGUGAGGUAAGAGCUCACCGGGUAUCUCGGCAACGAGGUAUGCCGUACACACUGUGAGUUGUAAGAUCAUGUACACCGACGCUUGAGGGCUGCUCGCCUGAUGUCGGGGGGUAGAUCGCUGGAGCCAUUGAGGUGACUCAUGGCCAAGAUAAAUGACAAACGUUCGGAAGCUCGUGCAGCCGCCGAAUACAGAACCCGGCUUAUAGGUCUGCUGC